GAAAUGUAUGGAGUAACGCUUGCCGUGAGAAGUCAGCAGAUGUCAUAGUACCUAAAGUACAUGUACUUAUGGGGAAGGAC
rnacentral:ncRNA from 1 species